AUGGCGCCCCCCUCGGACGCACACUCUGCAACCAGCAGCGGCGACUCGGCAGCCGCAAAACCUAACCUGGAGCAGUUCCUCGACAAACUCGAUCUUAAUGAGGAAGAUUUCCAAGAUGUUGAGAUUGAUGAGGAUGAUCCCGAGAUCAAUAAAAGUGUCCGUUGGCUAGCCCUUGCUAGGGUUCAUAUGGACAAGAAUUUCAGCCCUUCGGCUUUCUACAAGCAUAUGAGGGCGACUUGGAACCCAGCGCAGAGCGUGAGAUUCCGGCCGGUCGGCCCCAACAGAUUUGUUGUCCAAGCCUCGUGUUUGGGUGAUUGGGAACACAUCAUGCAUCAGGGACCCUGGUUGUUUCGCAACUGGGCGGUUCUCUUGUGCAAGUAUGAUGGAUUCAGCCACGCAGAGGACGUGGUAUUCGACCAUAUGCCUAUCUAGCUUCAAAUCCACGAGCUGCCGGAUCCAUACUGCAAGAGGCAUAUUGUGGAGAAAUUACUCAAGGGUGCAGGUGAGAUCAUGGAGAUGAGGUUGAACGGCAACACUCGUGGUGACUAUGUCAGGGUAAGAGUUAACCAUGAUAUCCAGCAGCCCCUCAUGAAAUUUGUGAGUAUUGUUCGUGCUAAGGAGCGGCAAGUAUAUUUGGUGCGUUAUGAAAAGAUGGCUAGGUUCUGUAAAGUUUGUGGCCUAGUUGGCCAUGAACACAAGGAGUGCGGCUUGGGAAUUCAUGAUGAGAAGAAGCUAAAGUUCGGGGACUGGCUGUAUGCGGAUACCCCCAACCAAACUCGGCCUGAUGUGACUCCGGCCAAGGCUGCCACCCGGCCUUUGGGCGGUGCUGCACCAGUCGUCCCGGUCGAGCCGGGGCAUGAGAAGUUAGACCCUGAGGUUCUGGACACGGCGACUAGUCCGGUGAAGAACCCAGGGGUUGUGAUGGAGGUGGACAAGGAUGGGAGGAAAAGAUUAAACAUGGAUCAUGUUGUGUCUAAGCAGGUCAUCACCACAGGAACACCGACACAGCUACUUGCCAUCACUGAUGGUAAUGGGGAUGAUCUAGGGGCGGGUGUAUCGCCCUCGAGCAGCACUUCAAGCAGUAAACGUCUGAAACUUGCAAGUGAUACGGAGAAGAAUGAGAUAUCGGCAGCCUCCCUCGAGGAGGACCGCCUGAUGCAAUGA
rnacentral:rRNA from 1 species